GAUGAACGCUGGCGGCGUGCCUAAUACAUGCAAGUCGAGCGAACAGACGAGGAGCUUGCUCCUCUGAUGUUAGCGGCGGACGGGUGAGUAACACGUGGAUAACCUACCUAUAAGACUGGGAUAACUUCGGGAAACCGGAGCUAAUACCGGAUAACAUGUUGAACCGCAUGGUUCAACAGUGAAAGACGGUCUUGCUGUCACUUAUAGAUGGAUCCGCGCCGCAUUAGCUAGUUGGUAAGUUAACGGCUUACCACGGCAACGAUGCGUAGCCGACCUGAGAGGGUGAUAGGCCACACUGGAACUGGGACACGGUCCAGACUCCUACGGGAGGGAGCAGACGGGAAUCUUCCGCAAUGGGCGAAAGCCUGACGGAGCAACGCCGCGUGAGUGAAGAAGGUCUUCGGAUCGUAAAACUCUGUUAUUAGGGAAGAACAAAUGUGUAAGUAACUAUGCACGUCUUGACGGUACCUAAUCAGAAAGCCACGGCUAACUACGUG
rnacentral:rRNA from 1 species